CACGCCCUCACACAAUGCAUAGCAAAUACCGGAUGCUGGGAGGAAUAUGUUCAGUUUUGUGGCCAUGUAUAGAAAACGCUGUGCUACGCGUUAUGGCACUUCCCGGAGGACUGCUUAAAAAAACUACGUGCAGUUCGAUGCUGGAUUUUCACAUCUCUUUACUCCCGAGAGGACGGGGCAGUUCCAGCUUUGUGUGAGCCAGCAGCAGAUUCAGCUCCACAGCCUGUGACAGGUGUUCUUCCAACUUAACAGUACAACUUAUUCCUUCAUUUGUGCCCAGAAGAUAUGUCAGGUCCUUCCUGGACAGUGAGGUUGUGCCUGGCUAUUGGGGAGAUCCCACAUCAGAUGCGAGGGCCUGCAUGGAACCGAAACUUACAGACGGUGCAUUCUCUGCAUUCUUCAGUGUUAAAUUAACACCCUCUUACAGUAGACAUGAUGCGGUGCUUAAGUGUGACUACACAGCCAAUCAACACAACAGAGAACGUGUGACUAAUGAAUAAUGAGGAAUACUUAAAGUGAAUAUCUCAUUCAGACUGUAUCAAAUGAAUUUAUUAUAUGUUAUUAUUAUGUUUGUAUAUUAUUAUGUAUUAUAGAAUGAACACUUCUGU